rnacentral:pre_miRNA from 1 species
GCGUUUACUCGGGUUUCGCGAUGUGCGAACAGUCCUCUGCACUGUGUUCGUUGUCGUCGAAACCUGCCUUAAACGC